AGUGAACGCUGGCGGUAGGCCUAACACAUGCAAGUCGAACGGCAGCACAGUAAGAGCUUGCUCUUACGGGUGGCGAGUGGCGGACGGGUGAGGAAUACAUCGGAAUCUACUUUUUCGUGGGGGAUAACGUAGGGAAACUUACGCUAAUACCGCAUACGACCUACGGGUGAAAGCAGGGGAUCUUCGGACCUUGCGCGAUUGAAUGAGCCGAUGUCGGAUUAGCUAGUUGGCGGGGUAAAGGCCCACCAAGGCGACGAUCCGUAGCUGGCCUGAGAGGAUGAUCAGACCCAAUGGAAAUGAGAAACGGUCCCGACUCCUAAGGGAGGGAGGAGUGGGGAAUAUUGGGAAAUGGGGGGAAACCUGAUCCAGCCCUGCCGCGUGUGGGAAAAAGGGCUUUGGGUUUUAAAACCCUUUUUGUUGGGAAAAAAAGCAGGCAGUUUAAACCCCCCUGUUUUGACGGUACCCAAAGAAAAAGCCCCGGCCAAAUUUGUG
rnacentral:rRNA from 1 species